UUGAAUUGCAGGGAGAGUUGGGACAAUGCAUAAAAGCUGAAAGACCCAACAAGAUCAGAUAAUGCAAAGACAGUGUUGCAGUGCAGGGGCAAUGAGUGAGCCAAAACCUCAGGAGAGAAAGGGGAGCAGAGAGGAAGAGGUGGUGCUGCCGAGGGGCCGUGAACUAGCUCAGUUCCUGGAGCACUGGGUCCUGGAUGAGUCCUCAGGGGCUAAACCACAUCCUGUGAGGCGUGGUCGAGACUCCAGCCUUCCAAUCCCCGCAAGUUGCUUUACAACAACUCCCAUGGCUCAGGUUAACCUGAGAGUUUCCGCUCUUUCAACCAAACUGAGGCUAGCUCAGCCUUCACCUUUAACCUCCGGGUACAUGCUAAGAAUCGGAAGAGGCGAAUGGAGAGGACGAGUAUGGACAUCCCUCCAUGAACCCCCAGGCCUGACGCUGGCCCAAGGAGGCCCCGAGAAAGAGCCCGGCCCAGUUCCUGCUACACCAGAACCCCAGGUCCAGCUCCAAUGCCACCUCCUCAGAGAGGCCUUUCUUUAUCCUUCCAGUUCAAAUAUCCACCAUCUUGAUGUCCGAAGGCAAAGAGAGUCUGAUCCAGCCAGCUAGGGCUUUGGCUGCUGAAAUCCAGCCGGCUCCCCAGAGCAUCAGCCUCACCUGGUAAAGACUUCCCCCAAGGGCUAGCCACAAGCCGCCCCUUCCCCGGAGGGGGGCUCACUCCUCCUUCCCGUCAACUGAAGAUCCUUCGUGAAUGGGCUUGUCUGGAACUGCUGCAAUUAAACCAUCAGAGCAACACUGGACCAUUUGUUUACUAUGGCGCUUAGAGCUGGAAUGGCUUGUUGUUUUGACAGUUUCUAUUUUCAGCUCCAUUUCCUAGGGGUAGCAGGGAGAGGGUAGGCAAUGAAUCCUGGUCUAUUCAAGUAAAAAGAUGCUUCAGUGAAUCCUAGAAUUUCAGAGUUACUGAAUUCUGGAAUCAUUGUCUUG
rnacentral:lncRNA from 1 species